rnacentral:rRNA from 1 species
CAGUUACUUGCAACUGCUAAAUUUAGUUCUACCAGGAACGCUUUUGAGGAUAAGCUCAAAAGUGUUUUUGAGACAAGCAUUAAUUAAGAUUAGCUGCGUGAGCCUAAAAUUAGCUAUCCCACAAAGUUUGUUACAAAAUAGCCAUAAUAUUAUAAAAAAUUUAUAUGCUUUAUACCAAAUAUUGAAUGAAGACAAAAUCUAGAACUAUAUAGAUUUGUGCCUAUGCUAGAAUGAGUAUUGCUUAUUUUUUUACGCGAGAUGACUUUCGUUUCUCGUUAAAAUAUGGAUUAAAUAACAUUAAUUAAAUGAAAGGAAUUCGGCAAACAAGAGCUCCGCCUGUUUAUCAAAAACAUGGCUCUACGAAUAAAAAAGAUGCAGAGUCGAACCUGCCCAGUGAAAUUUUAACGGCCGCGGUACUCUGACCGUGCAAAGGUAGCGUAAUCAUUUGCCUUAUAAUUGAAGGCUAGUAUGAAUGGUUUGACGUGAGCGACGCUGUCUCUCCUUUAUUUUUUAAAAAUUAACCUUUAGGUGAAGAGGCCUAGAUGUAAUUAAAGGACAAGAAGACCCUGUCGAGCUUAAAAGACAAGAUAGAAGUUGGUAUCUAGGAAAUAAAUAUCCUAUCAAGCUUUUUAGUUGGGGCGACUAAGGAACAAAUAAAGCUUCUUUCAAUACAAUAUAGCUAAUCAGCAUAGAUCCAGUACUUAAUACUGAUCAAGAAAAUUAGUUACCGCAGGGAUAACAGCAUAAUCCUUCUUGAGAGACCAAAUCGAAAGGAGGGGUUGUGACCUCGAUGUUGGACUAGAAUAUCCGAAAGAUGCAGACGUCUUUAAAGGUUGGUCUGUUCGACCAUUAAAAUUUU